UAUAUAUAUAUUAACAUAAACACCUAUUAAAAUAAAAUUAUUUAUUUGUUUGGUUUUAUAAUUAUUGUAUCUUAUUAUAGAAAAAAAUUUAAAUCUUGGUCACAAAAGUUUAUGUGAGACUUUUAACAGUAUCAAUAAUUUAUACUCGUUUUGAAAAAUUCAAAAUACAACAUAUACAAACAAAUCUAAAUUUUUAUUAUAUGAUUAAUAUAAUUAUGUAAUUUAUUUUAAUAAUAAGUAAUUAAACAAAAUGAUAGAAAGUAUACAGAUUGUCAGCAAAUUUUUAUUAUUUAAAUCAUUAAUUGUCAUAUAUAUCUUAAUCACAUUAGAUAAUUUCGUAUGUUUUAUUUAAGGAAAGAAUAUAUAAUAAUUAAUUUUAAUUUGAUAAAUGAAUGGUCCAUAAUAGACAUAUUAUAUAAUAUAACAUUCCCUAAAAAUUUAAUUUUGAUAUAAAAAAUUUCUCAACUGAUUCUCAAGCCGCCACAUAAGCAAAAUUAACAUUUCAAUUAUGUGACAACUCAGCAUGACAAUUUUUAAUUAGUACAAAUUACAUGUUAUAAUUUUCUAAAUGUUUAUCUAUUAAUAUAUAGGGGGUAAUUGUUGGUCAAAAAUAAUAUUUUAUAAGUAUCGGUUAAUAACUUUUUGGAUUCGGUUAUAAUUUGUACAUACAUGUUAAAAUCCAUAAAGUAACUAUAUAUCAUUCGGAUUCAGGUUAUAUCGGUUCGGUUUGGAUAUAUCGAAAGUAAAAAAAUUGAAUAUAAGUUAAUCUAGCACACAUCAAAUUUAUAAAAUAACAAAAAAUGUUAAAUCAAGCAUAAAAAGAAUAUCAUUUGUAAACAAUAUACAUUAACUUAUAGACAGAGUAGACUUGUUAUUUUAACAAGUAAAUUAUAAAGUAAUGAUUUAUAUGUAAUUGGGUAUUUAAUGUAUUUAUUUAAGUUUUAAUACUUAUUUUAUAUAUCAUAUAAAGUAAAUAUUUAAUUGAGGUAACACCCUAUAAAAUCCACUCGGAUAUUUUCUCGCAUUUCAUAUCGGAUAACAUAUCGAGUUUGGUUUGGAUCUCGGAUUUUAGAUUUUAUUCCCAGGAACAAAACAACCAUUUUUGUCUUAGUUUUCUCUUCUCUCCAAAAAUAGUAAUAUGAUUGGUCUUUGUGGAUUCGAUAGUUUAGUAUUACUAUGCACUAUUGUGCACUUACGAGGUUAACAAUUGAUCAUAUUAGUAUUAGUGCCACUACAUUAUUAGGUCUAGGAAAUACAAAUCUACAACUGUUUUGAAAAUUAUCUUUUUUUUUUGUAGAAUCCGGAAAACCGGACUGACAUAAACGAUAAAAUAAAAGCGAUGUUAAGGAAAUAUACGAAUGUAAAAGGCGAAUACAAGAACGAUAAAAAAUCGUAUUUGCGUCGCAAAGAGACAUGAAGUCGAGAUAUGAUCUCUUUCCUUAACUCAAAAUAUUCGCUUUGUUACUGAGACGAGACUGUACGAAUAUAGAGUCUCGGGAUACAAUCAUGGCAGACGAAUCACGCCUCACUCGUGAUCGCCCUAUCGAACUAUAAACUCUACAAAACACUCUCGUAUUUAUGACUUACGCUAAGGGUUUUUUGCUGUUGGUUUCGAUGUGACAAAAGUUAAGAAAUGAAUGAAGAGGAAAGACGAUAUUUAAAGAGACGGAGACAACCCACUUCCCGCAACAGCUGAUGCACGUGGGCGAUAAUCUCGCGGAGAUCGAGAGAAGUUGAGUUGCGAAACUUAUUCCCCAAGACUCUCUUUUAUCUCGUUUAAAAAAUUUCGAGAGGAUAAACUGCAUGACGUUUUUAUUUUGUAGACAAACUGCUUGUCGUUUCAAAAUAAAAUGCAUGUGGUUUUUGAGAAUUUAAAUGACAAAAUAUUGAGUUUAAUUUGGUCCAGAAAAUUUUCUAAUCCUCCACCAAGACCCGAACCCACGUGGAGAGAUUUCCUAACAACUCAUAACACAUGAGCACAUAUAUAUCACUCUCUCUCACCCUUCUUGGCCGGUGUGGGAUACUUCCCCAUGACCUCUUAUUCAUUUAAUUGACAUUUCCUUGGGUUUUAUUAUAUCUAAAGCCCAUGUCAUUUACAUUCACAAUUUAAUUAAAGCCCAAACGCAUUUAGUUGAUCCAACAUUUUUUUGGUUAAAGAAAAACGAUCUAGAACUUGUUUAUAUUAGAGAAAACAUAAAACACAACAAACAAAUGGUAUAGUGGAAAUUUUCUACACAUAUGAAUGGGUGAGAAAAAUAUACGGACGAUGGUAUUUAUAAUCCGUCUUAAACCCAAUAUUAAAGUCAUUAUUAGAUUUUUAAAUAAACCCAAUAUAAACGCGAGAUAAUUUCUUGGUAAAUUUUUUAUAUAAUCUCAUUAUUUCUUCAUUUAAUGUAGGUCUAGACAUAAAAUUUGUAAUCCAAAGUCAAUACCGAACUCAAACAAAAAAAACUUGAUCAGUACCCAAUCCGAAAUAUAAGAAAUCCCAUAAUAGGUUUUGUAGUGUGGUACAUCAAAUAUCCAAACCCAAAAUAUUAUUAGCCGAACUCGAAAAACAAAAAAAUCCAAAAACAGACCAAAAUUUCAAAUUAAUCGCAAAUAUAAAUAUAUGAAACAUAAAUAUGUACUUCAAAUAAUCAAUUCUAUAUUUAUUUUGAAAUUAUGUAUAUAAAUAAGUAUUUAAAUGUUCAAUAAGUACCUGAAAUAUCCAAAAACAGACCAAAAUUUCAAAUUAAUCGCAAAUAUAAAUAUAUGAAACAUAAAUAUGUACUUCAAAUAUUCAAUUCUAUAUUUAUUGAAAUUAUAUAUAUA